ACAUCCCAGGAAAAUUAUAUUAUUCGAGUGCAACAAUAAUACGUGUUGCUGUUAGAUGGUUAUCAACAGCAGAUUCUGUUAUAGAUGACACAUGAGAAACAAUUCACAUUGAUGAAAAGUGCAUCAAAGAAAGUAAUGUCGCA